AUGCUUCUGAAAGCAAGUCUUGGAGUGAAAUGUGGUGCACUUGCAGAAAGUUUUAUAUUUAUACUGUUGUAUUUUUUAAGACAUCCACCCAAAGUUUUUAUGUAUAAAAUUUUAAAUGAUUCUUAGCAUUUAAGCUAUGUGCAGUAUUCUAGAGGUCUAUUUCAUUUAAAAUUACAGUAUUGUUUAUGAAACUUGAAAUAUCUACAGUUUCUGUAUAUUUUACAGUGGAGGAAGAAGCGUAUGCGCAGGCUUAAGAGAAAGCGCAGGAAGAUGCGUGCGAGGUCGAAGUAAACCAUUGCUUGCCCCCUUUGCUAGGUGAUUGUUGAAGAAGUCUACCAUCCUUUAAUAAGUUUCAAUAAAUUCUAAGAAGGGU